ACUCCUACGGGAGGCAGCAGUAGGGAAUCUUCCGCAAUGGACGAAAGUCUGACGGAGCAACGCCGCGUGAACGAUGAAGGCUUUCGGGUCGUAAAGUUCUGUUGUUAGGGAAGAACAAGUACCGGAGUAACUGCCGGUACCUCGACGGUACCUAACCAGAAAGCCACGGCUAACUACGUGCCAGCAGCCGCGGUAAUACGUAGGUGGCAAGCGUUGUCCGGAAUUAUUGGGCGUAAAGCGCGCGCAGGCGGUUCCUUAAGUCUGAUGUGAAAGCCCCCGGCUCAACCGGGGAGGGUCAUUGGAAACUGGGGAACUUGAGUGCAGAAGAGGAGAGCGGAAUUCCACGUGUAGCGGUGAAAUGCGUAGAGAUGUGGAGGAACACCGGUGGCGAAGGCGGCCCCCUGGACAGAUACUGACACUCAGAUGCGAAAGCGUGGGGAGCAAACAGGAUUAGAUACCCUGGUAGCGACUGA
rnacentral:rRNA from 1 species